UUCAUCAACGCGCACAACAUUCUUUCCUCUUUUAUUAUUGUCAAAUUAUUAUAAUAUAUUUAUCCUCAGACAAUGCCCCUCCAGCACGAUUUAUUUCCUUUCUCUCUCCUUAUUUUCCUUCGUCCUUUCUUCUGGUCAAAAUUGUGUAUUUUUAUUUUUUAUUAUUAUAUUUUUCAAGUGAAAAAGUCAACCGUCGCGCGAAUUCCAGGAGCUUGAAGUGGAAUUCGGGCAGGUGAGCGAUGGACCUGCGGUCUCGCGGGCCGGGCCCUGCACGACGAGCCGCGGGGGGCGGCCUACCCCCGCAGGACGCUCCGAGUGCAGCGGGGGUCCUCGGCGGGGCCCGAAAUUCUUCGCCGAUGAUAAGUGACGUCCAGCAUCGGGCACCGCACGCACACACCUUGACACAGCAGUCGAAUUUUUUACGGCGCCUCUAAUUGUGAUCAGGACCAGCCUAAUGAUCGAGGUGCCUUUUUUAUUCAUAUACUCUCCCAUUCAUAGAAAUUUUCAGCCGGACCACUGUGGAGAGAUACGCGCCGAGCCUCUGUUUGUUUUCAUUCCUCUGACAGAGGAAAAAGAAAAAUGACUCCAGAGAUCGUCUUGUAGUGCGUUGUGGCGUGCUGAGAAGCGCAGAGGACCAUAACUCACACAGGGAGCAGAGUUUUAGUCAGGAGCGCCGCGGGGUGCUGCGACUUGCGGAGAUGCGCGUGCAAGAUGCAUCGAAACGGCGAAAUUCUAAAACGGGUUCCUCUGUGGUUUGCCGAGAGAGCGCCAUUUUCAGCGCCGGUAGCAGCGUUGUAUUCGCGGUGACCCGUUGACCCCCGCGUUAUUAUCUGCGCGCAACCAUCUCCGCAUAUAUGCACUCCCGACCAGCAGACGAAAUGGGCAGCGUCAGCGAAGGCAAAAGAAUAAUAUAAGCAUCCAAUGGCGCCACCAUUUAUUUUGCAUGACUUAUGUAUGAGGCCAAGUUGUUGCUUGAUGCGACAUACAAAAGCAUAUUCAAAGGACAAAUCUUCUGGUCAGUUAUUUGUCUGCUCACAGAAAUUUGGCUUUUUUUUAAAUAUGUAAUUCCCCUCUUCUCAUGGAUUCCUCUGCUUCUUUAUAGCUGGGACCACAUCUAUUUACUAAUCAAUAGUUGUUAAAUAGCUAUGCAUAUUUUUUAGACAAACGAUUUUAAAGAAAACAAUGUUCUUGUUCCUAACAUUAUGAAAUUUUUAAUUUUAUGAAU